GUGACGGGCCGACUGGUCUUUCUUCAGUUUUGGUCCUCGGUGCGCGCCGUAGUCACACGUUGGAUCGCGGGCGGCUGAGUGGAUGAGGUGUGACUGGCAGUCGUGAUGGAGAGUUUGAAGACCCGAUUUGAUUUUCCCAGCUCCGUCAUACAAGCCCAGACAGUGAGAACUCUUGUUGCUGCCGUACUAAAGGAGAAAGGACAAAAUGGGCGAAUCACGCAGUCGUCCCCUCAGGGCCCAGCGUUGGAGGCUCUGUGGCAGCAAUGCUGCAGUGACUCCGCUCUGGUGCGUUCAGCCUGCUGUGAUGCCGUGGUGCUGCUGGUGGAUCAGGGCCACACAGAGCUGCACUACAUCCUCUACAGUGUGCUCAACCUCCUGCCCUCUGCCAGACAUGUCCAGGGGCUUAUAAAAGUCAUUGGACGGCUGCUACAGAUGCAGGCAGACCAGAGAGACCGAGAAUCACACUUCACCUGUCCUUACUCCAUCAGGAACAGCCCUCACCCAUUCAUCACAGCCCUGGAGAACCGAGUGGACUGCUGGCCAGCUCUGCUGCUGGAGAUUGAUGAUUUCAUCGUGCAGGCUGCUGACAGGAAUGAGCCUGCCUACAUCACCAUGCUGGCCCCCUUCCUGCAGUAUCUGUACUGUGAACCUCAGCAGCAACCCCAGCACGCCCUCCUCCGACACAAUCUCCUCCGCGUGCUGCUGCCCACACACCCAGGGGCUGCGUCAGCCCUCCAGGAUAAGGAUGAGGAGAAGCCCUCCACAGUGUCCGACAGCCUGCUGCACUGCCUCUGCCAGUUGGUUCCACACAUGCAGGUGGACAGCGUGGAGGCGGUGCUGGAGCUGUGUGGAUUCAUCGACGCCCUGCUUCAUGGUCUUCUUCGGGGCUCGGAGGAGCAGUGGAGGACUGAGAGAGCCCGGCUGCUUCUGCAGCUGCUGUGUGCCUGUCAGCGCUGCCUCAGGUUAAACGGAGACUGCCGGCCGCUUCUCAAGUUAUUACAGCAGCUCCUGCCUGCCUGCCAACAGGAGCUGCCGGUGGACGAGCUGAUGAUGGGUUUGGCCCUGCUCCUGCUAGAGGCCCCUGCAGCUCAGCAGACCAGCCUGCUCAGUCUGGCGCUGAGUUUGGCUCCUGAGCAGGCUGAGCUAUCGCCCUGGUUGAGUCCAGUCCUGGUCCUUCCUGUGCUGCAGCUGCUGUCCUGUUCGGACCUCACUGAGCCUCUGGCCGACCGGAGAACACACAGCCUCAACCAGAGCCUCGCCCACAGCCUGCUCCGCAGCAUCAGCCGGCAGACCUAUAAACCUCGACAGCCCGGUCCACCAUUAGCUCUUCCUCUCAGUUCCUGGCACAGUGAGGUCAGCGUGGCUCUGUCCGUACUGCGCAGAGUUGCAGACGAUCCAGCGGCAGCCACUGAUUGGCUGCUGUCGGUUCGCUCGGCGGAAUCAUGCAGCCAGCGCCUGCCUGGCUCCCUCACCCUCAUUGUGACCUAUCUCAUCAUUACUGGUGAGGAAGACGUCUGCCAGCUGGCUUUGGAUGCAAGCCAGGCCUUCGCUGCAGCCGACCCCUGCCAGGUCCCCUCCCUCAUCCCCGUUCUGUUGUUCAAACUGGGGAAGGAAAAGAAUCCAAAACUGGCUCAUGCUGUGCUCAACUGCCUGCCAAACCUCGGCACUCAUAAGCUUUGUGUCCCCAUGGUGCUGCAGACUCUCUACAUGCUGGCCAGCGCCCCCAAGCUGAGAGCUGUGGUAAUGCGCCUCACGACUGCUCUCUGGAAGAAACAGGACCGAGUUUACCCGGAGCUGCAGCGUCUGCUGAGUCAGCAGGACAACAGGGUGGUGGUGGGGAGGGACUCCCAGUGGGAGCAGAUCCUGGCCAGAGCAGCCUGUCUCAGGGACAUCUGCAGAGAGAGGCCUUACCAGCAUGGAGGUGAUAUGUUGGCUGCUAUUACACAAACUUUGAACCAGUGCACCAGACCAGACAUGGCAACCCCAGCUGCCCUCGCCCUACAAGGACUACAGGAGCUGUGCCGGGCAGAGGUAGUGGACAUCAUCUCAACAUGGAGGCUUCUUGGGCCUGAGCUCAGCUGUGAAUCCCGUCCACUGAUGGUCAAAGCUGUAGCUGAGCUUCUGGCUCUGGUUCCCCGGCUCACUGCAAAGUCGGAGGGGUAUGAGAAACUGAAAGAGGAGGUGGUCAGCUUUCUCUGGAAUUAUGCCCUGAGCAAGCAGGAUCCAGAGGUGGCCAGCUGUGGCUACAGGGCUUUGGCAGAUUUUCCUGAGGCAGCCCACACAAUAACUCUUCUUCCUGAGGCAGCCAGGCCAGCUUCGAAGCUCCCUGAAGAUGAGGGGGAGGAGGAAAAGGGGGAGGAGAAAGAGGAAGAGGAGAAGGAUCUCUCCAUUCCAGGAUCUUCUUACGUGAAGCUGAUGGCUCUCACCCAUGUCUCUGUUCUCCCAGCGUUUGAGCUCUUCUUGACGUCACUGGUGAAGCAGGAGAUGAGCCAGAUGCCACGUGGGGUGUACUUCUCUGCCCUGAGGGGGGGGAACCUGCGUUCAGACCAGGGUAAAACAGUGGCAGGAAUCCCAACAUUCAUGCUGAGGAGCUACGAGAAAAACAAGCAGCCUGGGCUGAAGCCUGGACUAGCAGCUGGACUGCUGCUCAGUUAUGAGUUGCCUGUGCAGUCCGACCGCAACGGCAAACCGAUUGAUCGCUUCCUCAUCAGCCGCAGCCGCAGCUACCAGCAGACCCUGACAGCCCUCAUUCAUGAGGUGAAUAUUCAGCCGUCUGAAUGGCACAGAGCCCUCCUCUUACCCCAGGCCUGGAGGGGUUUUAUGAGCCGAGCUUUCCAUGUUGUAUUACAGGGUCGACGUGCCGACUUGGAGAUAAAACAGAAGCAAGGCAAAGAGAACCCAGAGGAGCUGCAGUACAAAUGGCACUGUGCCUGGCUAUGGGCCAGAGAUCAGCUAGCAGAUGCCAUCAAAGUUGCUACAAAGGACAGUCCUGUAGUUCAGGGGAACUCCAUCCUGGCUUUGAGCGGCCUGGCAGCUGUCCUCGCCAAAUAUGAGAGCAACCUGCCUGCUGAUAGCGACGGCAGCCUCGGGGCUGGACCAGAGUUUGUGCCCACAGCCAGCUGGUUGGCCAUGGUGCUGGAGACGCUGCUCAGCAUCAUCAGCAGCAGCUAUAAGGCCAGAGGACAAGUUUUCCCAUGGUUCCUGCAUCGUUCCUACUCGGGUGAGAACACAGCGAGUGCCAUCGCUCGCUCCUGUGCCAGCCUGGCGCUCUCCUUGCUGGUUCCUGUGCUGGUGGUGUGGCAGAGGGACGGCCUGGUCCAGGUGCUGUCAGCACUGCAGGCCGGUCUGCCGGGCUCACCCACCGCUGAUGACUCCCAGGCUGUCCAGUUCCACUCCGGCCUCGCGCUGGGCAUGGUGCUGUCCAGUCUGCACCACCAACGCCUCGGCGACGUCUCUGUGCAGAAGGAUGCUAAUGUUCUUCUCAGUUCUCUGGAUGCUCUGGAGAGUUGCUCCUUCAACCCCAACCUGGAAUACAAUACUGGCUGUAUGUUGGGUCUGGGACUGGUGCUGGCAUCUCUGUGCAGAAGUGGACAGAAGGAGCAACACGUCCGUGUCACCCAAACUCUGGACAAACUACUGUCCAACCUGCAGGACAGUAGUGGACAGGGACGCAUGCUCCAGGAGGUAUUGGCGUACACUGUGGCAUGUGUGGGCAUCUCAGCUUUCGAUGCAGGCCUCAUAGAUGGUGCCAAGGCUGAGGAGGUCAUGAACACUCUGCGCACCCUGACCGAGGAGAGCCAGCAGACCCCAGGGUUCUCCCUUGCUCUAGGGUUGGUGGUCCAUGGCCUGUCACUGUCCGGUCAUGGUAAAGCGGAGGACAUCCACCCUCGACUGCUGGCUGCCUGGAUCAAGAUCUUACUGGCAGAAGGUUGUCCCACUAUGCAGCGACUGGCUGCUGUGAACGGCUUGGUGGCUUUAGUGGGAUCUGAGAGUUACCUCAUUCAGCUCAAAAGUGAUUUGGAGCUUUCCACCCAGCAGCAGAACAGACUGAAUGAGGUUAUUCGAGCCAUCACGCAAAUCAUAACAUUCUCAGGAGCCAUUGGCUUGCAGUCCAACUGCGCCUGUCUGGUGGCUCAUUUGCAUUUGGCCCACAUGUCCACCAGCCACAGUCACACAGCAGUUCCUCAGGACUUCAGUUACCUCUCAGAGAAAAGUGUCAUCAGAUCCAUCAUUGACUUCAUCUCAGAGGCUGAAAAGAAAGGUCCAGAAUUCUGUCCUCCAGCUCUGGUUAAGACUGCUCUGACCCCGCUGGCAUCAGUUGGAGCCAGUUUCCAGUACCCACCCAUUAACUGGAGCGCUGUGCUGUCUCCUCUGAUGAGGCUCAGCUUCGGAGAGGAUGUCCAGCAUCAGUGUGUGGUACUGGCAGCGUGUCAAGCUCAGUCCUCUCAGAGUGCGUCUCUUUUUCUGGGCUCCUGGCUGUCACCGCCGCUUGUGCACAGUCUCAGUCAACGGACCAGGGCUCACCUGUACGAGAACCUGGGCUUGUGGAUGAAGCACAUUGCCGAGGACAAGCUCCAGGUCUUCGCGGAGAGUCUGGGCCUGCAGCAGUUCCAGGAGGACCUUCGACCGCAGCGCCUGUCCCUGUGCCGCUCCCUUCUGCAGGGCCUCGCUCUGGCCAUGGCCCUCCCAAACCCGCCUAGUAACUGCUGGGCAAUCCUCUGUUCCACCACCGAGAAGAUCUUCACCCUCCUGCCCAACCAAAUCCAGGAUGAUGAAGUGGAUUUGUACAUGGGAGUGGCCAAAUGUCUGUCUGAGAUGUCCGAUACAGAAAUUGAUAGAAUUGCUCAAGUCACAGAGACUCAGAUGGAGAAGACGUGUUUCAUCCUGGCUUACCUGACUUCCCAAGGCAGAGUUCCCCUGCUGGGUCUCAAUGACAUCAUCGCUGGCGUGCUCCGCGGUUGGCCGAGCCAAAGAAUCGGCUGGCUCCUCCUUCAAACCUUUUAUCAGUGUCGCCUGGCCACCGGCUCCAACACAGUUGUCUCCAAACGACUGGAGUGGCUCCUGGAGCUGAUGGGCCACAUCCGAAAUGUUGCCUACGGUGCAACCUCUGUCCAAUGUGGAGACACCAGACUGGCCACAGACUUCCUGUUCCAGGUCUUUGCUGCUGCUGUAGUUUCCUGGGGUGACCAUUUCAUGCCCUUCCUGCUCGGCAUCAGGGCCCAGUGGUUACCAUGGCAUCAGGGCUCCAGGCCUCGAGCUCUACAACACAGUCUGUACGGACAGGAGUCUCUCACUGAACAUGCCCUGCCGCAGUGCCUGCUGGGAGUGCCCCACAGCUUGACUCUGCUUCUGAACAAAGAGCCCUGGAGCAGCCAGAUACAAAAGUUCAUAGACUGGUUUCUCAGCAUAACAGAAAGUCCUGAGCAGAGUGUGUCAACUGCAACCCUCAGCACAGCCAAAGCAGGCACAUGACACAGGUGACAUGAUACCUGUUCCUGUUGAGAUUAGGAAUGGCCAACUGUGGUACUUCAAUUCCUGCAGUCCAAAGUUAAACUGCUCUGUUGGCCCUGAAGUACUCUGCUGAGUUCAAGAGGAAAACUGUGUGGACCAGAGCUUAUGGCUGGUAGCCCAAUCGAGCCACAAUAUUCUGUUACAAUGGCAACACCUACGCUCUCAUGCAGAAUCCGUGCCAGAGUUCCAGCACACAAGCUGCAUCUCUCCUGCCUGAGCUUGUAGGACAUGGAUACAGUGACGGCUGUGAGGCUCACUGCAGCACCAGACUUUUAGCAUUCAUGAGCUUAGUUAGAAACUGCACUGCCACUGUAGCUCUACUCCAAUCACAUGUGAGAAAGAUGUCAAGAGGUAAGUGCUCUGUCAAACAACAUUUAAAUUAAAAGUAUCAAAACUUUUAA